rnacentral:rRNA from 1 species
AUUGAACGCUGGCGGCAUGCCUUACACAUGCAAGUCGAACGGUAACAGGUCUUCGGAUGCUGACGAGUGGCAAACGGGUGAGUAAUACAUCGGAACGUGCCUAGUAGUGGGGGAUAACUACUCGAAAGAGUGGCUAAUACCGCAUGAGAUCUACGGAUGAAAGCAGGGGAUCGCAAGACCUUGUGCUACUAUAGCGGCCGAUGGCAGAUUAGGUAGUUGGUGGGAUAAAAGCUUACCAAGCCGACGAUCUGUAGCUGGUCUGAGAGGACGAUCAGCCACACUGGGACUGAGACACGGCCCAGACUCCUACGGGAGGCAGCAGUGGGGAAUUUUGGGCAAUGGGCGCAAGCCUGAUCCAGCAAUGCCGCGUGCAGGAUGAAGGCCUCCGGGUUGUAAACUGCUUUUGUACGGAACGAAAAGCCCUGGGUUAAUACCCUGGGGUCAUGACGGUACCGUAAGAAUAAGCACCGGCUAACUACGUGCCAGCAGCCGCCGUAA